ACUUGUCCCUAAAGCUUAACAGGAUUACGAAUGGACGUCACCCAUUCAACUCUAACAGAUAAUGCACUCUUUCUUUCUUUUAUUUUCUUCUCUCUCUCUCUCUCUAGUUUGAACUAAGCGAGAAAUGGCUGUUGCUAUGGCUGCUUGCAGUCUUGGGCUUCACUUAACUACUGCUGACAACAGCUUCAGCAUCAGACCUCUGGAUAAAACCAUUAGCAUUGCUAAAACAUGUUACAUUCUUCACAAAACAAGAUGGUCAUCUUCGAGAAUUACAAUCAUCCGUCGAGCAACACCUCUAACCGAUGUGAUGAAGGAGGAUGGAAAUCAAGGUGAUGCGGAUGCUACCGUUCCUACUCCCAUUGUCAUAAUAGAUCAAGAUUCCGAUCCAGAUGCAACCGUCGUCGAGAUUACCUUUGGUGAUCGCCUUGGCGCUCUUCUUGACACUAUGAAUGCGCUCAAAAAUUUAGGCCUCAAUGUUGUUAAGGCAAACGUUUUUCUCGACUCCUCUGGCAAGCACAACAGGUUUUCCAUUACCAAAGCUGAUACCGGAAGGAAAGUAGAAGAGGCAGAGUUGUUGGAGGCAAUCCGUUUGACAAUCAUAAAUAACUUGAUUCAGUAUCACCCGGAAUCUAGUGCCCAAUUAGCUCUGGGAGCAGCUUUUGGACUUGUGCCUCCAAAGGUGCAGGUAGAUGUGGACAUAGCGACCCAUAUAACAAUAUCUGACGAUGGCCCUGCUAGAAGUUUGCUGUACGUGGAGACAGCUGAUCGGCCCGGAUUACUGGUGGAUCUGGUUAAGAUCAUCACUGACAUUAACAUUGCUGUUGAAUCCGGGGAGUUUGACACAGAGGGGCUGUUGGCUAAAGCAAAGUUCCAUGUCAGCUACAAGGAUAAAGCCAUCAUCAAGCCUCUCCAGCAGGUUCUUGCUAACAGCUUGAGGUAUUACUUGAGGCGACCUUCAACGGAGGAAGCCAGUUUCUGAUCCAGCCAACGCCUAUGCCUGCGCUCACGUUAUGAAUCGAUUGGUGGAAUGCGCGUAUAGCCUAUAAUAUCCAUCUUGAUUCCAAUAGCAUGGAGAAAUUCAAGUGAAAUAUAGCAUGUCUUGGCAAUUUACAGUGCUGGACAUGUAUCAUAUGGGCAGCAAGAUAUUAAUAUGGAAAUUGCAGACAUGCUAACAACUCAAAUUUCGAAUUAGUGGACGCUAGCCAGAUGCCAACUUCAAGUUGCAAAAUGACUCAAAACUUGGAGCAUAUAUGCCUUUGAUUCUCCUUUUUGAAUUUCCCUUUGGAGGUCAUAUUCGAUUUGCGCUAUUUGCUCUAUUGACAUAUGACAAUGGCAAAACAAAAACUAUUCUCGCAACACAUGUUUGGUUAAUCAUCUUCUGAAAUCUGAAUAUCAUUUUAGACUUUAGUGUGCGAAUCGCGCGAGGUUUUCUUUUGUUGGAAUUAAAAACCAUUGCGGUUGCUGGGAGCCGC